AACUGUUUCAGCUGGCUUAUGCUCAAUAAGAAUUUUGCCAUACUCUUUCACUGUCACCCCAGCUUGACUCAACUCAAGGCUGCUGAUAUAUUGUAAAGCUUCUUCAUAUCUAUCUAGAUCUUCAAGCAAAAUUUUAAGGUACCAUUCAUGCCUCCUAGAUCUUCAAGUGAAAUUUUAAGGUACCAUUCAUGCCUCCCAGCUUUCUUAGCAACAGACAUGGCAUGCUCAUGAUAAUUGGCAGCUCUGCAUACCCUUAUUGCAGUUUCAACGUCAAACUUUUGUUCCCCAACCCCAUCCUCACUUUUGAUGAACUCAUUCAGCUUC
rnacentral:lncRNA from 1 species